UGGGGAAUAUUGGACAAUGGGCGAAAGCCUGAUCCAGCCAUGCCGCGUGUGUGAAGAAGGUCUUCGGAUUGUAAAGCACUUUAAGUUGGGAGGAAGGGCAGUAACCUAAUACGUUGCUGUCUUGACGUUACCGACAGAAUAAGCACCGGCUAACUCUGUGCCAGCAGCCGCGGUAAUACAGAGGGUGCAAGCGUUAAUCGGAAUUACUGGGCGUAAAGCGCGCGUAGGUGGUUUGUUAAGUUGGAUGUGAAAUCCCCGGGCUCAACCUGGGAACUGCAUUCAAAACUGACAAGCUAGAGUAUGGUAGAGGGUGGUGGAAUUUCCUGUGUAGCGGUGAAAUGCGUAGAUAUAGGAAGGAACACCAGUGGCGAAGGCGACCACCUGGACUGAUACUGACACUGAGGUGCGAAAGCGUGGGGAGCAAACAGGAUUAGAUACCCCGGUAGUCCCUGAGCGGGCUGGCAAGGCGCAU
rnacentral:rRNA from 1 species